AGAACGAACGCUGGCGGCAUGCCUAACACAUGCAAGUCGAACGAGACCUUCGGGUCUAGUGGCGCACGGGUGCGUAACGCGUGGGAAUCUGCCCUUAGGUACGGAAUAACAGUGAGAAAUUACUGCUAAUACCGUAUGAUGUCUUCGGACCAAAGAUUUAUCGCCUAGGGAUGAGCCCGCGUUGGAUUAGCUAGUUGGUGGGGUAAAGGCCUACCAAGGCGACGAUCCAUAGCUGGUCUGAGAGGAUGAUCAGCCACACUGGGACUGAGACACGGCCCAGACUCCUACGGGAGGCAGCAGUGGGAAUAUUGGACAAUGGGCGAAAGCCUGAUCCAGCAAUGCCGCGUGAGUGAAGAAGGCCUUCGGGUUGUAAAGCUCUUUUACCCGGGAAGAUAAUGACUGUACCGGGAGAAUAAGCCCCGGCUAACUCCGUGCCAGCAGCCGC
rnacentral:rRNA from 1 species